rnacentral:lncRNA from 1 species
GAAAUCACUGUUCACUUAAUCACAGCCCAGAUUCCGCUUCUGCGGUUCUAAUACUGCUUCUGUAGUUCCGGCUUAUGCGUCCCAAUAACUGCUUCUGUGGUUUUAACUUAACUCCCCCAUGACAGCUUAUGCGACAAGGAUCCCUCUUCUGCGGAUUGCUCAUAUCCGCUUCUCCGGCUAAAUGUCUACUCCUGCGGACCUCCUAAUGUGGAUCUUCUGUGGAACUUCUCAACUCCACACCAACUCGCUUCUGCGCUCCCUUACCCAUUUCUACGGAACCGCUUCUGGAGUCCAUUCUGCAGAAGCCGAAAUACCAGAUGACAGCAGCAACAGACUUGAAGCAAACUUCAAAACUCUCGUUUAAACACC